UGGCUACUUUGAUGAGUUUAAAAUGGAACAAUAAUCACUCAGGGGGAAAAUCCUAUCUUCCAGCCUCAGGGGCAGCAAAGGAGGCCAGAAAAUCAAUCGGCAGCCCGAGCAGAAGCAGCAGCGAUGGUGGCGGGAGCGGCAGCACGCGGGGGACUAACCGCAAAGCUUCCAGUGAAGACGCCUGUGCUUCCUCCGUCGCCCUGCCCACACCUUUGUCGGCGUCUGCUGGGGGUAGGUCCUCCCGCCUCUGGGGACAGACACCACGAUGCUGAGGAGUUAGGAGCGAGCCCUCAGCCUCCCCAGCCGCCUCAAGAGGAUGCCACUCUCCCUCCCCCGUGCUUGUCACUUGGAGGAACGCGUGGUGAGACAGGGAAA
rnacentral:lncRNA from 1 species